rnacentral:rRNA from 1 species
GAUGAACGCUGGCGGCGUGCCUAACACAUGCAAGUCGAACGGAGUCGUUUUGGAAAUCUCUUCUGAUCUGGAAUUCUCGACUUAGUGGCGGACGGGUGAGUCACGCGUGAGCAAUCUGCCUUUAAGAGGGGGAUAACAGUCGGAAACGGCUGCUACUACCGCAUCAAGCAUUAAAUUCGCAUGUUUUUGCUGCCAAAGGAGCAGUCCGCUUUUAGAUGAGCUCUCGUCUGAUUAGCUAGUUGGCGGGGUAACGGCCCACCAAGGCGACGAUCAGUAGCCGGAAUGGGGGGUGGAACGGCAACAUGGGGACGGAGAAACGGCCAAGACUCCUACGGGAGGAAGCAGGGGGGAAUAUUGCGAAAGGGGGGAAACCCUGACGAAGAAACGCCGCGGGAGUGAAGAAGGCCUUGGGGUGGAAAAGAUCUUUAAUCAGGGACGAAACAAAGGAAGGUACAUGAAGAAUAAGCUACGGCUAAAUAAGUG